CAGGAAGAUGCUUAAGUCAACUUUGCUGCCUAGGAGAAAUGGAAAGACUGGUCUUAAGUUUAUGUGCCAGUUAAAUUUAUAGAAGGCUCAAACAAAAUGGGAUUUAAGUUGUACAUAGACUUCUGUGCACAGGUAUUUGUGCUCUGCCAAAACAAAACAAAACAAAACAAAAACAACUGGUAAAUACUCAUUCAAACAUUAGUAUUUUCACAACUUUUUAUUUUCACUUUUUGCAAGCACUGGAGUUUGUGAACUUUAUUAUGCUAAAAUACACAUGAAAACCAAUGAGAAAAAUCAAAUGAGCUUUGUUAAGCUCGAACUCUCUGUUAUUCUAGACAGAGCACAGCUGGAAAUCCUUUGAGCUUUGCUGGCUAUUCCUCUGGAAUAAAGNNNNNNNNNNNNNNNNNNNNCCCGCAUUCUCUUCAUUGUUGCUAUGUGCCUCUGAAUCCUGGAUACUAGACUGUCUCCUCUGAGCAACAGGCAAACAGACAUGGCUCAAUGCAAGGGAACACGGCAUAUAAAAGUCAAUAGAAGCUUCCUUGGAGACUCCAGUAUCUUUCAGGAUUAUUUUGCUGUGGCUUGCUGCACUUAGCUGUUAAAAUCAAGGGAACAUGGUGAACUGUACAUCAAAUAAGAAAAAACAAAACAAAACAAAACAAAAAAACCCACACUGAUCACCUUGUGAACUUUUCCAUGCAUCAAUAUUCUACUGGAUCAAAAAGUAAAUGUGAUUGCUCUUUUCAGUUUCAGAAACUCCUUUGACUCCAUGACCAAUCCAAAUAUGACUAGUAAAUAAAUUCAUGAGAAAUUUACUUGUUAGAAGAAAU
rnacentral:lncRNA from 1 species